AGUUUCUCUGAUGCUUUCCUGGAACUGGUAAGAGAAAAGAAACCAGAAAAUUUGGGUACUGCUUUUAGUGUUGGACCUGCUGGAGGCUGGAAAUGAUGGUGCUGGUGGAAGAGCACAUUUGGGGAGCAGAGUUAAGCUUGUUGUGACUGUUUCCCUACGAACCAUAGGCAUGCUGACUGUGAGGUGGCUGGGCAAACCUGCAGUAAGAGCUCUGCUUGGCCUGACUUAAAUAAAAAAGCUGGGAGGAUGAACUCAAGUCUUCUGCACUGUACCCCAAUACUGAGCUACUGUGAAAUGAUGCCAUGCAAAACUUUGUUUCCUUCUCCUAUGGGAGAAAAGUAUCAUUCCAAGCCUUGAGAGCUGGCAUAGAAUAAAACAGCUGGUGGAUGCUUUGCUGGUGAUGGA
rnacentral:lncRNA from 1 species